rnacentral:rRNA from 1 species
UGGGGAAUAUUGGACAAUGGGCGCAGGCCUGAUCCAGCCAUGCCGCGUGAGUGAUGAAGGCCCUAGGGUUGUAAAGCUCUUUCACCGGUGAAGAUAAUGACGGUAACCGGAGAAGAAGCCCCGGCUAACUUCGUGCCAGCAGCCGCGGUAAUACGAAGGGGGCUAGCGUUGUUCGGAUUUACUGGGUGUAAAGGGCGCGCAGGCGGGAUAAAAAGUCAGUGGUGAAAUCCUACAGCUUAACUGUAGAACUGCCUUUGAUACUUUUAUUCUUGAGUUCGGGAGAGAGAGACGGAAUUCCAGGUGUAGUGGUGAAAUACGUAGAUAUCUGGAAGAACACCAGUUGCGAAGGCGGUCUCUUGGUCCGACACUGACGCUGAGGCGCGAAAGCGUGGGGAGCAAACA